rnacentral:rRNA from 1 species
CAGCCGCCACGGUAAUACGUAGGGUGCAAGCGUUAAUCGGAAUUACUGGGCGUAAAGCGUGCGCAGGCGGUUCGCUAAGACAGAUGUGAAAUCCCCGGGCUUAACCUGGGAACUGCAUUUGUGACUGGCGGGCUAGAGUAUGGCAGAGGGGGGUAGAAUUCCACGUGUAGCAGUGAAAUGCGUAGAGAUGUGGAGGAAUACCGAUGGCGAAGGCAGCCCCCUGGGCCAAUACUGACGCUCAUGCACGAAAGCGUGGGGAGCAAACAGGAUUAGAUACCCGUGUAGUCCCUGUCUCUUAUAC